UCAGAUUGAACGCUGGCGGCAGGCCUAACACAUGCAAGUCGAGCGGUAACAUUUCUAGCUUGCUAGAAGAUGACGAGCGGCGGACGGGUGAGUAAUACUUGGGGAUCUGCCUGAUGGCGGGGGACAACCACUGGAAACGGUGGCUAAUACCGCAUAAUGCCUACGGGCCAAAGUGUGGGACCUUCGGGCCACAUGCCAUCAGAUGAACCCAAGCGAGAUUAGCUAGUUGGUGAGGUAACGGCUCACCAAGGCGACGAUCUCUAGCUGGUCUGAGAGGAUGAUCAGCCACACUGGGACUGAGACACGGCCCAGACUCCUACGGGAGGCAGCAGUGGGGAAUAUUGGACAAUGGGCGCAAGCCUGAUCCAGCCAUGCCGCGUGUGUGAAGAAGGCCUUCGGGUUGUAAAGCACUUUCAGUGGUGAGGAAGGCGUUGUAGUUAAUAGCUGCAACGAUUGACGUUAGCCACAGAAGAAGCACCGGCUAACUCCGUGCCAGCAGCCGCGGUAAUACGGAGGGUGCGAGCGUUAAUCGGAAUUACUGGGCGUAAAGCGCACGUAGGCGGUUUGUUAAGCAAGAUGUGAAAGCCCAGGGCUCAACCUUGGAAUUGCAUUUUGAACUGGCAAGCUAGAGUUUUGAAGAGGGUGGUAGAAUUUCCAGUGUAGCGGUGAAAUGCG
rnacentral:rRNA from 1 species